CGGGUGAGUAACACGUAUGCAACCUGCCUGCCACAGCCGGAUAAUCGGGAGAAAUUCCGUCUAAUACGGCAUAAUGCAUCGACGGGUCAUCCUGUUGGUGCCAAAGGUUGAUUCCGGUGGCGGAUGGGCAUGCGUCGCAUUAGUUAGUUGGCGGUGUAACGGACCACCAAGACGACGAUGCGUAGGGGUUCUGAGAGGAAGGUCCCCCACACUGGUACUGAGACACGGACCAGACUCCUACGGGAGGCAGCAG
rnacentral:rRNA from 1 species